rnacentral:rRNA from 1 species
UAAUGCCGGAUGCUCCGACAUGACGCAUGUCGUGUUGGGAAAGAUUCUAUCGGUAUGGGAUGGGGUCGCGUCCUAUCAGGUAGUCGGCGGGGUAACGGCCCACCGAGCCUACGACGGGUAGCCGGCCUGAGAGGGCGACCGGCCACAUUGGGACUGAGAUACGGCCCAGACUCCUACGGGAGGCAGCAGUGGGGAAUAUUGCACAAUGGGCGCAAGCCUGAUGCAGCGACGCCGCGUGCGGGAUGACGGCCUUCGGGUUGUAAACCGCUUUUGAUUGGGAGCAAGCCCUUCGGGGUGAGUGUACCUUUCGAAUAAGCACCGGCUAACUACGUGCCAGCAGCCGCGGUAAUACGUAGGGUGCAAGCGUUAUCCGGAAUUAUUGGGCGUAAAGGGCUCGUAGGCGGUUCGUCGCGUCCGGUGUGAAAGUCCAUCGCUUAACGGUGGAUCCGCGCCGGGUACGGGCGGGCUUGAGUGCGGUAGGGGAGACUGGAAUUCCCGGUGUAACGGUGGAAUGUGUAGAUAU